rnacentral:tRNA from 1 species
GGAAUAUGAAAGUCAAAUUAAAGCUGCUAACUUUAAAUUUAAUAGCGCAAUCUAUUAAUAUUCCU